rnacentral:rRNA from 1 species
GUAGCGAAAUUCCUUGUCGGGUAAGUUCCGACCUGCACGAAUGGCGUAACGAGGGCCACACUGUCUCCACCCGAGACUCAGUGAAAUUGAAAUUGCUGUUAAGAUGCAGUAUACCCGCGGCCAGACGGAAAGACCCCGUGCACCUUUACUACAGCUUUGCAUUGAACUCUGAUCCUACCUGUGUAGGAUAGGUGGGAGACUUUGAAACUUUAACGCUAGUUAGAGUGGAGUCAUCCUUGAAAUACCACCCUGGUAUGGUUGGGGUUCUAACCUUGGUCCGUUAUCCGGAUUGGGGACAAUGCAUGGUGGGUAGUUUGACUGGGGCGGUCUCCUCCCAAAGAGUAACGGAGGAGCGCAAAGGUACCCUCAGCACGGUCGGACAUCGUGCAAUGAGCGCAAAGGUAAAAGGGUGCUUGACUGCGAGACUGACACGUCGAGCAGGUAGGAAACUAGGUCUUAGUGAUCCGGUGGUUCUGAGUGGAAGGACCAUCGCUCAACGGAUAAAAGGUACGCCGGGGAUAACAGGCUGAUACCGCCCAAGAGUUCACAUCGACGGCGGUGUUUGGCACCUCGAUGUCGGCUCAUCACAUCCUGGGGCUGAAGCAGGUCCCAAGGGUAUGGCUGUUCGCCAUUUAAAGUGGUACGCGAGCUGGGUUUAGAACGUCGUGAGACAGUUCGGUCCCUAUCUACCGUGGGCGUUGGAGACUUGAGGGAAGCUGUUCUUAGUACGAGAGGACCGGAAUGGACACACCUCUGGUGUUUCGGUUAUGACGCCAGUCGUAUUGCCGAGUAGCUAUGUGUGGAAAGGAUAACCGCUGAAAGCAUCUAAGCGGGAAGCCCCUCCCAAGAUUAGGUCUCCCUGACAGUUUAACUGUCCUAAAGAUCCCUCGGAGACUACGAGGUUGAUAGGCACGGUGUGGAAGAGUAGUGAUACUUGAAGCUAACGUGUACUAAUUGAUCGUGAGGCUUGACCAUAUAACACCCAA